rfam:Camelus ferus unplaced genomic scaffold scaffold1161, whole genome shotgun sequence.
GGGGGUAUAGCUCAAGUGGUAGAGUGCAUACUUUAACAUGCAUGAGGUCCUGGGUUCAAUCCCCAGUACCUCCU